UACAGAGGUCUCAAGCGUUGUUCGGAUUCAUUGGGCGUAAAGGGUGCGUAGGUGGCGCCGUAAGUCGGGUGUGAAAUUUCGGAGCUUAACUCCGAAACUGCAUUCGAUACUGCGGUGCUUGAGGACUGGAGAGGAGACUGGAAUUCAUGGUGUAGCAGUGAAAUGCGUAGAUAUCAGGAGGAACACCGGUGGUGUAGACGGCUUUCUGGACCGUAACUGACGCUGAGACACGAAAGCGUGGGUAGCAAACAGG
rnacentral:rRNA from 1 species